CUCCAUGUCGUGCCCCCCUCAUCACUUCAUUUAGUUUGUUUUCUUCCUAUCAUUGUGGGGGUACUAGUAUCUCUUACCCGUCUCUCAUCCAGCAAUUUUUUUUCUGGUGGAAUUAAGAGGUUCACUUUCAGUUGAAGACAAGGCCUUUCCCUGAAGUUCUGAGAAGACUGGUACGGCGGCAAAUCUUUACAUAGGACUAGAGGCUGGGGCGCCGCCUGCACGGACUAAAACGACAAUCAGUCGGUAAAUAGAUGAGGGAAAUCUAUGAAAAUUUGAUAAGCGACAUCAUAGAUUACAGUUCAACUCUUGUGGAUAUCAAUAGCAUCGUAAUUAGUAUUGCCUUUUUCCGUAAUAAAUAUCCUACUACAGAUGGACACUUUAUUAUCAACGUAGAGCAUCUCUGUUGAAAUUUCGGUUCGUUACAGACUCUUGGUUCACAUGAAUAUACAAUGUUUUUAUUACAUAAUAACCCAAAAUUAAUAGAAAAAUAAUCCCUGGUACACAUUGCUAUACACUUUGGGUUUUUGCAAAUAGGGUAACUGAAGAAUAAUGGGCCCAACUUUUCAAGAUUACAUUCAGCAUCCCAUCAUAUUCUGAAGAAUCCAAACAUGUUGGAAUGUAAGUACAUGAAAACAUACGUUAGCUAAUGAAAUCAUAUAUUGAGAAGCACCUGCAGAUAUAUACCAUACCCUAAUAAAACCUUACCGCACUAAGUGCCCGAGCACACGAAAAAAUUGUUCAUAGGUCAAUCAGUGAUAAUGGAACACCAAAAUUCCAUUGAUGUUUAUUUAUGAGCUAGCAGCUAAUUAGAAGUGGGUAAAAUUUACUCAGCUAGUAUACCUCUUACAGGCACAUGGGAACCAGCCUCUAGUAGGAUUUGUUCAGUUCACGACACCGCAAACUCCAAGCUCCUUCAACAGAAGAAGGUCUUGGGGAAUGGAAUGGCACCGAGCAGAAGAUGCUGAUCGAACCAAAAGAAAAAUACACUAUCAAAGCACAGCAAACUAAAACUCCAAAUGAAUCAAAACAUCAAGACUGCAGGAAAAGUAGUAGCUCCCCAACAUCAAUACUGGAUCCACGUGCUGAAGAAGUUGGUGGAGGCGCGACCAUCGGCCACCACGUGCGGCGAGCGGCUAGACCGGCCAGUUGACGACGACGGCUGCAGGUUA
rnacentral:lncRNA from 1 species